UUGAGUUUCAGAGCACAUUCAGGCUGGUUGCAGAGGAAGGAACAGCGGGAGAACUUCCUGUUGAAAUGUGUUUGUGAUGGCGCGUCUGCGUUUCUGCCCAACUUGAAGCAGGAACAUGGACAACAACCUACUGGACCUUGACUGACUGAGGAAGAGGAGAGGAUGUCGCUCCUUUAACCUAGAAGAAGAAAGCACUGGAGUGGAGCAUUCGUUGUGUCCGAGCGUAAGGGACACUGAUGCCCGCCUGCCCUGUGACCACUUGGAGCGAUGGCAGCCACCAAAGAGAAGCUUGAAGGCAACAGGAGGACGUGUGGGGUCGCGACCCCACCGGAGGGCGGCUGGGGUUGGAUGAUCGUCGCCAGCUGCUUCCUCGCCACCAUCUGCAUCCGCGCCGUCACCAGGUGUGUUUCCAUAUUUUUUGUGGAGUUCCAGUUGCAAUUUGAGAAGGAUUAUUCUACCACUGCCUGGAUCCACAGUCUGGUGGACUCCACCACUAUGCUAUGUGCACCUCUCGGUGGUUUCCUUGGGAACCGCCUCUCCUGCAGAGCUACGGUGAUGCUGGGAGGUCUCCUGUCUGCUUCUGGUUUGGUCCUCAGCUCCUUCGCUUCUAGUCUGGAGUCUCUGUACAUUUUCUUGGGCCUCCUCACAGGUCUUGGCUUUGCCCUCAGUUACACACCAGCUGUGGCGAUGGUUGGGAAGUACUUCAGUGAGAAGAAAACGCUGGCCUACGGCAUCGCCAUGUCUGGAAGUGGCAUUGGAACCUUCAUCCUGGCUCCUGCCGUCCAACUUCUUAUAGAGCAUUACUCCUGGAGAGGAGCUCUGCUCAUCCUUGGAGGAUUUGUGUCAAACCUGUGUGUUUGUGGAGCUCUGAUGAGGCCACUGGAAUCAAAAGGAGAACUGAUGUGGAAGAACAAUUUGCCUGACCUGGAGAGAGAUUGCAUAACAACUGUGCUAGAUUCCAAAGAGACUGAACAAGUGCUCGGUGAUUGCAGCCAAGUAGAGGCAAAGCAGUUGGAAAUAAACAAGCUAAAGGACACUCCAGUGCUACUCAUAGCCAAUGGAGCACUCAAAAACUUUGGACUUGAAAAAGGCAAACUGGGUCAGGCUGACAUAGCACUGCUAUCAAGCCCAAGCCUGUCUGAGCUGGGCCUGAAAGAUGUGAAGAUAGCUGAGUGCAUUCUAUUCAGCAACAAGCUGACAGAGACGAUGCUGCUCUCAGCAAGCGACAGAAUUAUGAGCGAUGCCAAACUAGUGGAAAGAAUGAACCUGAACAACAAGUUUGCAGACAUGGAUGCUCUCGUGGAGAACAGCAGAUUUAGAGAAGCCAAAGCAACAGGAGCCUUUCACUUUGAUCAAAGCAUCACAGCAAGCGACGCUUCAACAAACACUACAACUCUGUCCAGAGUCCACUAUUUGUGUCUGAAGACCAGGGAAGACUUUGGAUUCCUCCUGAUGCCGGACUUCCUGGUUCUGUCCGUGUCCUUCCUGUUCUUGGCCUAUGGCUGUGGCGCUCCGGUGGUUUAUCUGGUGCCGUACGCCCUCAGUGUGGGAGUGGACCAUAAACAUGCUGCUUUUCUAAUGUCCAUAUUUGGAGUCAGUAGCAUUGUUGGUAACAUCACCUUCGGAUGGAUAAUGGACAGGAAGUGUCUGAAGCCGUAUCGCAUGCUGAGCUACGUGGUGGCCAUUGGCAUGGAGGGCCUCUGCUGCAUGUUUGUGCCGUUCCUUCACUCCUUCUCCCUCCUGGUGCCGUUUUCCAUAUUCUAUGGCUACUUUGAUGGGGCCUAUGUGGCCCUCAUCCCAGUGGUGACCUCUGACAUUGUGGGCUCCACAUGUCUCACCUCUGCUCUAGGUAUAGUCCACUUCCUGCACGCCAUCCCCUAUCUGGUCAGUCCACCAAUAGGAGGUUGGUUAGUGGACAGGACAGGCAACUACGCAGCCACUUUCUCCCUCUGCGGCGCUUCCUUCAUGUGCAGCUCUGUGCUCCUAGCGACUGCUGCGUUUGUCAGAUACUGUCAGAGGUCCAAGUCUAAAUCAGCGGCACAUUCAAAUCCCGGUCACACUGCGGCUGCAUCUCACGGUGUCAUAUGACGCGCACGCCAGUCAAGACAGUGUCGGCCGCCGUGGUGUGCAAACCGUGCUGCCAAUUCAUUUUGCACUCAGGAUCAACAUAAACAGCCCACGGGAACCAAAGCAGCCAGAUAGAUCCUUACAAGAAGCUCGUGGGAUGAGUGAAGGUCACGUUUUCAGGAUGUCAUUUUACACUGUGUACGAUCACUGUCACUCGCAGGUGCUUUAGAGUAAAAACUUUCCUAAAAUUAAAUGCCAAAAACUACUUAGUCUGUUUGUAAUAAUACUCACACAGACAGUUAAAAAUCAUUGAAUAUAUCAGUGAGUUCUUGUGUUUGCGUAUGUUUGGAACUGUUAUAACAAAUAUUUCAAAAGUAUGUUUGACUGAAUCAAUAUGUAAACAAAUCAUAUUUUAUUUACCUCAUGUGAGUCUUGUAGUCGGCACUCGAGAGCUGAGCUGCUGCACUGGAACUGGUGUCUGGGGACACGCUACACGGUGAUAUAGUCAUAAAGCUUAAUGUCAACUCUAAACCUGGGCCGGGACGCAACCACCAUCACUUUAAGGAGCGAUGAAAGGACCGAGAACUUGAAGCCAAAUUGAAAGUGCAGAAGCAACAUUGGAAUAAUCAGAAAUCUGUGGAUGCGUGGGAGGCAGGCGGAGGAGGGGUUUCCUCUGAGGUUGGCAUCCCCGAACACAAAAAACACCCAGAACAAGAGGACUUCCCCGAGCUUUGUAAUUAAACACAGACACACACACCAUCACACAAAACCCCUAUUUCUGCUUCCCUCAUGUUGAUGUUCACGUUGAUAAUGAAUCUGUUUCAUUUAUGCUUGAACUGAUGAUGUUGAUUGGACUUUAGUCUCUUUAAAGCUUUGCGGUAAGGCUCAUUAUAAUUAAACUCGGUGAGAUGUGGUAGUCAAAAAUAAUGUGUGUUGAUAAUAAGCAUAUAGUGUUCUUGAAUAUAAGAAACUCUGUGUGUGUGUGUGUGUGUGUGUGUGUGUGUGUGUGUGUGUGUGUGUGUGUGUGUGUGUGUGUGUGUGUGUGUGUGUGUGUGUGUGUGUGUGUGUGUGUGUGUGUGUGUGUGAGUGAGUGUGUGUGAGUGUGAGAGAGAGAACCUUGCAGGUGGUUCUAGACUAAUCCACAUGGGGGAGGCAAAGCCAAUGAGAUGUUGCAGUGUUUAAACAAGUGGCUCAAGAAUUUGAUAAAACAAUUCUAAAUCUUUCACCUGCAUUCAUUUUUGAAAUUAGUUUGUUGUGUUGUGUUGUGUGUCACAGAGGUUGUUCCCAGGUUGACUAUGUAUUUGUAAACAGGAGGAUUCAGAAGUGAGCAGUAGCUGAUUUAAAGGAGGACAGCUGAUAAAAAUCUAUUGUUGAAUCCUCAACACUAAACUGUAUCACAAAAGACUAAUUAUGCUGAUUUCAAUUGAGAUUAAUAAAGUUCUCUUGGUAGUUGAAGUACAA